rnacentral:rRNA from 1 species
UGGGGAAUUUUGGACAAUGGGCGAAAGCCUGAUCCAGCAAUGCCGCGUGUGUGAAGAAGGCCUUCGGGUUGUAAAGCACUUUUGUCCGGAAAGAAAUCCUUGGCUCUAAUACAGUCGGGGGAUGACGGUACCGGAAGAAUAAGCACCGGCUAACUACGUGCCAGCAGCCGCGGUAAUACGUAGGGUGCAAGCGUUAAUCGGAAUUACUGGGCGUAAAGCGUGCGCAGGCGGUUUGCUAAGACCGAUGUGAAAUCCCCGGGCUCAACCUGGGAACUGCAUUGGUGACUGGCAGGCUAGAGUAUGGCAGAGGGGGGUAGAAUUCCACGUGUAGCAGUGAAAUGCGUAGAGAUGUGGAGGAAUACCGAUGGCGAAGGCAGCCCCCUGGGCCAAUACCGACGCUCAUGCACGAAAGCGUGGGGAGCAAACAGGAUUAGAUACCCUGGUAGUCCUACGCCCUAAACGAUGUCAACUAGUUGUUGGGGAUUCAUUUCCUUAGUAACGUAGCUAACGCGUGAAGUUGACCGCCUGGGGAGUACGGUCGCAAGAUUAAAACUCAAAUGAAUUGACGGGGUCAUAGCUGUUUCCU